UACGUAGGCAGCAAGCGUUGUUCGGAAUUACUGGGCGUAAAGCGAGUGUAGGCGGUCGGCCAAGUCAGAUGUGAAAUCCCCGGGCUCAACCUGGGAACUGCGUUUGAAACUGGGAGGCUGGAGUGCGGCAGAGGGGGGUGGAAUUCCACGUGUAGCAGUGAAAUGCGUAGAUAUGUGGAGGAACACCGAUGGCGAAGGCAGCCCCCUGGGCCAGCACUGACGCUCAUGCACGAAAGCGUGGGGAGCAAACAGG
rnacentral:rRNA from 1 species